CCCCGCAGCCCCCCAGCCCCGCAGCUCACCCACCUUGAGCUGAGGCUUGGCGAAAACCCUUUCUCCGGCGCUUUGCAGCAGCACAACAGCAGCCGCCGCAUCACCUCUUCGCUGGCGGCAGGCACCGGCUCGCCCAGAGGCAGUGCCGAGCAUCCCGGGCACCCUGCGAGCUGUGGCUACGAAAAACACGGGGCCGUCCUCUCGGGGUCCUCGGGGGCCGUGGGAUCGGAGCCCUUGCGUUUAUUUGCAAAGCGCCCGGAGAGCCCCUAAAAAAA